AUUGAACGCUGGCGGCAGGCCUAACACAUGCAAGUCGAGCGAGCGGCGGACGGGUGAGUAAUGUAUGGGGACUGCCCGAUAGAGGGGGAUAACUACUGGAAACGGUAACUAAUACCACAUACUAUCGGAUUACCCAGGUGGGAUUAGCUAGUAGGUGAGGUAAUGGCGCACGUAGGCGACGAUCCGUAGCUGGUUUGAGAGGACGACCAGCCACACUGGGACUGAGACACGGCCCAGACUCCUACGGAGGCAGCAGUGGGGAAUUUUGGACAAUGGGGGAAACCCUGAUCCAGCCAUCCCGCGUGUAUGAUGAAGGCCUUCGGUUUGUAAAGUACUUUUGGCAGAGAAGCGGUAUCUGCAGAAUAAGCACCGGCUAACUACGUGCCAGCAGCCGCGGUAAUAC
rnacentral:rRNA from 1 species